GAAACAAACGGUUUGAAAUUGUAAAUUUAAUAUAUAUAGAAAAAUAUUUGUAAAAAAAUACUAGACCUUGUGUCUAUAAUUAUAUUUUAUUAUAUUAGAAAAUUAUGAGUUUUAACUAUUGGGAGUCUGAUCUAGAGUAUCCUCUAUCAUUUAUCAGAAAGGACAUAAAUAAGGUAAAACUUAUUAUUGGUCAACUCUAAAGCUAAAACACUUAAGUUAAAAUUAGCGUUUAUUGGAGGAUCUGGGCAUUGAGAAAUUAUUGUUCUUCUGUGAUAAUCAUGUAAAUGAUUUGAUGUUAAUCUGCGGACAAUAUACAUUUUGUUGUCUAGUUGGUUUACUUGGUGUCUAUAAUUAUAUUUUAGCCUCAAUCAGUAAGUUCAAGUACUUUUUAAAAACAUGACAAUCGAGCAAUGGUCAAAAAAGAAUAUAGGAGAAGAGAAGCAGUUAAUCCAUUACUGCAUCUGACAAGCAGUUGUAAUUUUUUUAACAAUACUCAACACACUACAAGAAGAAGGGAAUGAAAUUUGUCAAAUUUGCCGCAGAUAAUAAAAUGUCUGUACAGGUCUGUGGUGUGCCUUAACCUAUGGAUGUCUGGUUAGGUGGCAUGACCUAUUUUUGUAAUGUCAUAAUAAGCGAGCCAUCAAAUACACUGAGAUAUCACAUUAUACAUUUCGUCAGAUUUCAAAUAUAAUCUACCCUAAAAAACAUCAAAUUCUAACGGUAAAGUUUCAUGUCCAGGAGUGGUGGAAAUAACAUGACAAAUAUUCUGAAAAAUAAUCAAAAUUUGAUUUGGAUAUUAUACCUGCCACACUAUUGGAAGGAUUAUUGCAAGUACCAAAUAAAAUAUCUACACAUAUCACUUGUAGCAACUACUACGGAUAUUCACAGGAAAGACUUCGGUUUAGUGCAGAAUCCAUAAAUCAGAUUUUAACAUCACUUAUUUUGGGUUGUGAUUAUUAAAAACAGACCUAAAAUAAAGCAUUAUUCGAGGACAGCCAGUAAAUAUACCAGUGAAGCAGUUUGGAUAAUGCAGUUAAAUCUCUAAAAAAACAAUCUAGUGGAUAAAGUCGUUUAAAAUAUGGGUUAAAUCAAAAUACGCUACAUAGACGUACAUAAUCAAUGCUCUGUCACCGGAGGUAGAACCCAUUACAAAAAUAAAAAAAUGUGACUAAAAACGUCAAAAUACCGAAAAUCGGAAGGUGCUGUUAUAUGGGGGCCAUAGUAAAAUGUUCUGCAACAAACUAUUAAUAUCAUGUUUGGAACAAUUCCGUGGAAAAAUGUGAUUAAAACCAUCAAAAUACUGAAGUUUCAACAAACUUAGAUACUGCGUUUGUUUUCUGUUUGAGAGUUAUAGUGCCAAAAAGCCAGACAGACAUUAAUAAAACUCCAAAUGUCCUAAAUCAAUUUCGUACAAAGGGAAACAAGUGAGCAAAGGCUAUAGUCGUUCGGGGCCUAUCAUGUGAUUUUGAAAGUAUUCAAUAAUAAUCACAGACACAUGGACAUGUGUAACCACUGAAAUACAACAUUUAUAUCAGGAUUUGAAGGAUGUGGAUGUUACAACUUACCUGGGGAUUGUAAAAAAGUGACUGUAUAUCAUGACGUAUACUAUGAGAAAAUCAUUAGAACACAACAACAUGCCAAUCAAAACGAAAAACAAAAAUAUUAUAUCGUUUUUUUUCUCAAGAAAUACUAAACCGGGCUUGCUGUUGUCAUUCGAUUUGAACGCUAUUGUGUAGCAUUGAGGUUUGUAGUCAACACAGAGCAGCCAUAAAUCUUAUCAAUGGAUCAGUACAGCGGCAGCAGCAGCAAAAACGAACAAUUGAACAGUAAACAAGUGUGUACAUUACAAAUGCAGUUCUAAGCCUCUACGAAUAUGGUGAUGAUGGUAGAACAUAAAAGGUUCGCAAUAGUUGGUGGUUCCGAGGCAUAUCCUACUAGCGCACAAAAUAAACAAAUAAAAAGCAUGAAGUUCAGCCGGGCCGAAUUUUGAAUAUCCUUCAUUUUGAGAUACUAAUGGAAUUGUCUGAUAAAGUUAUAUGGGAUAUAUUAAUUAUCAAAUUUGAAGCACUUUCGUUUAAAAUAUGUGGCUAAAGUCAUUAAAGUACACAAUACCUAGUUGUGCCGUUUUAUGGUUGAAAUAGUAAAAUGUGGACCUAUAUAGACAGUGUUCUUCCGUCAGAUGUAUAUCCCAUCACCAACCACAUACGCCGAAUUUUAAACAAAUCUUUUGGAAAAUGUGUCUUAAAUCCAAAAAUUACCGUGGAGCUUGUACACAUUGUUCUGUCACAGGAUUCAGAAGCCACCCCGAACUCUAAAUACCGAAUUAUAAUCGUGAUUGUAAUCGUAAAACGUAUACAUAAAUUCUACUCAAUAGCUCUAAAAUCAAAACUAAUGCUUUCGACUGAUUUGCUUGACUGCCAGUAAUUGGUUUGUAAAUCCAUUAUCUGGUAACGAGAGUUUUCCCACCAAAAAAGAAUUAAAUUUAUUCAGAAUAAACAGUUCACAUGGGGUCAUGAAGGAAACAUUCUGUUCUCUAUAUUUUAAUGAAUUCUUUAUAUUCACUUCUGAGGAUCUUGCAAAAGACAUGAUCCACAUGCGAAAUUAACAGCAUCUUAGCCGCAUGAUUUUGUAAAAUUCAUGACUUUUUUAUUCCCAUUAAAUUACUUCCUUGUCACCAAACAUGGAUAAAAUAUGAACAUUUCCAUAUAAAAUAUGGAAAAAUUGUAUAUUUGUUUAUUAAUUUCGGAUCUCUUCCAGCCAAUUUGGAAUAAGUAAGAGUUGUUAAAUUUGUUAAAUCUAUCAUAGCAAACCUUUUUUAAACCUUUUAUCUCAUCUUAUAUUCCAUGUGCAACACUUUGAACUUAUUGUCGAAUACUGUAUAUUUAAAUAGAAACAUGCUAUUUUAUGCAGAAUAUUUCGUGAAUUCGAUAAUUACACUUUUUUAUCGCCCAUAAGACUAUUAGGUCUAAAAAUUGAGCAUAGUCCGUUUAUCAAGUCUUCCAUCUAGUCGUUCAUCAAAACGUUUUUCCGGUCUUCUAUAAAAAAGUCCCUGCUGUUGGUUUAUAAAUACUGAAAAUUCUUCCAUGUUAGUUAUCUAUAAAUAUUUCCUUUUUUUUUGUUUUAUCCUUCUGGCAAUCUAUUAAACCCUCUCCUCCACGUCGAAAGACGUAUAUAUAAAUCUAAAAACUCGCCUGGUCAUAUAUAACGGUUUCCUUGUCCAUCUCUGGUAUUUUAUAAAGUCUCCCUUCCUGUUGUCCUAUUUGGCUCCUUUUUUCCCUAUCAUUUAUAUCUCAUUUAUAACUAUUUUGUAUUUGUAGAAAACUUUCUUAUCCCUAAGUAUAAAACUUUGCUGAUUGGCUGUGAGGACUACCUCUGUGUUGUAUAAAGACUUCUUUUUGGAUUUCUUUAAGAACCCACUCUGGCCAGGGUCCACAUAGACACUCUUUAGAUCAUUUAAAAAGACUUUUCUUCUUGGUGUUUUAUAAAAAACUAACAUUUUGUACCUUUUUGUCGAUUAUGAUGACAUUCAGUUUAUAGUUUCUAUGGGCGACCAUAAGAGGCCCAUAGAAACUAUAAACUGAAUGUUUGUAAAUACUCAAGAAUUUAUUUUUUAAUUAAUUUCUUUUGGUCAGAAUGCAUUUAUGAACUCUCUUCGGAUAGUCCAUUAAGACUUUCUUUGGAUAAUAUAUAAAGGCUUACUUUUUGUAGUUCAUAAAAAGGCUUGCUUCGGGGUCAAUAAAUACUUCUUUCUGAGUUUCUUUGAAGAAUCCUUUCUGGAAAUCUUCAAAAGUCUAAGUUCUGGUUGUACAUAAAUAAGUAUUCCCUUCUGGUCGUAUAUUUUCGGGAUGUCUUUUGUAGUUUGUAAAGUUCCCUUUUGAUUGUCACUUAUCGUUUUACCAAUAAUUAUUUCCUUUUAGCCUUUUAUUAAAACGAACUUCUGUUAGUGUCAUUCUCGAAAACUCAAACACUCAAAUAAAUUCCUGUUUGCGAUCUCUUUUUCCACAUGCAUAUAUUGUUUUCGGAUAGUCUAAAAAGACUUACUAAUUGAUCUUCAUAUAGCCAUUAAAAUAGAAUCUUAUAUGCCUAUUGAGCCAUUUAACCAACGGCGAAACGCGUCGCAUCCUGGUUUUAACGUGGGGCUUCGCUAGAUUCCAAUUUUCAAUGCCAUCAAUAGGUCAUAAUAAGCUCGACACGCAAGAGAAAAAUUAUGAAAUAUCCAUCAAAAAUUAACUGUAAAAAUUUUAGACGAACUCUAAAAAAAUCAAACAAGUGGUUUUAAAAAAAAAAAUGGAAAAUUGGUAUGGAUUAUAUUCGAACCAUGCGAAUAUAAUAAUGUUGAAUUGGUUCCACUUAUUUUGAGUUUUGUUCAGUUGGCUAUAAACUUGUUAACUCUAAAUCUCGUUCAUUAUUUAUUUUUACACCAAAUGGAUUACUUAUCAAUUGGCUAUUCUUGGAAUACCUGAGAAUUUGGUAUUUAUAACACUUAUUAUCAAGCCAUAUAUAAAAUAUGUCAUAAUGUUUCAAUUUAAAAUUUAACCCAAACAAAGGCAGUCGUAAAUAUUGUUUAAUGUUAAGGCCUAAUAGAGUAUGAUGUAGCAUAAACUUGCGAAAAUAAUGGCACAGUGAUGAUUGUAUAUUUAUUUCUAUUGACAACUAAAAAAACUCUAUAAAUUCGUAAUUAUAUUCAGCUUAUGUGGUUUAUAGGUAUGUUUAAUAUUAACUCUGCAGUCUUUGUGUAAAAUCCUAUAUAUACAAAAUGUAUGAUUAACGUACUUAUAAUAAUGCAUUCUAACCACAACCUCUUUGUUGGAGGUAAAAAUUGCUUCAAUAGUUCCGAGUGUGUUUACAUAUAGCAUUAAGUGAAUUGCAAUGGAAAAUGUUUUUGUGGUAUUAUCAUAGACAAAUAAAGGUAUAUACUAAAAAGUUGUCUCAUCUGUUAUCUUCGAAAAAACAUUUCAAUAGAUGUCGUUCAUGCUGUAAGAGAGGUUCAGUGGACUCACUCAAUUCUCUCAAAAUACAAAAUAUUGAAUAUUUUUAUGAUUUAUUACUAUUUAUCAAUUAAAAUCUAAACAGUGACUUUGUUUACAUUGACAUGACCCAAAUAUGUUGUGAAAUAUAAAAAUAUAAAGCUUAAAUAGCAGAAAAAUGAAUAAAUUGUUUUCGAACUCGAGUGACUUCACUAGCCCUGAGUGACUUCACUGGCCCACGAUAAACCAGAGUGACAUCUGCCGGAAGGGGUAAAUUUUAAAGCUUUUUAGUCUAUACCUUUAUUUGUCUAUGGUAUUAUCACAUAUCUAAUAAACAAAAAAAAGCCAUUAAAUUGUGUUAAAAAAGAUAAACACUGAAGUACAUUGGAAAGAUAAUGUCGCGACUUGAAAGUAAACAAAGUAGUAUUUGUUGAUAAUACUUUCGGCAAGAGUCAAUUAUGAGAUGUCUUUUCCAUAUCUCCUGAAAUAGUACAUGUUAGAGAAUUUUCCCCGCUUUGUUGUGGCCCGACUUUAUUGUAUUUUAAAAAUUUAACUGAAUUCUUCUGCCAAUCUCACUAGAACUUAAGAUUAACAUGGAACAUGUUUGUAUCCAGAUACUUUCAUUUUAAAAUAUAUGUACCAAAUGUUGGAGGGUAUUUAAA